rnacentral:rRNA from 1 species
UUAGGAUGAACGCUAGCGACAGUCCUAACACAUGCAAGUCGAGGGGCAGCACAAGGAGCAAUCUGAGGUGGCGACCGGCGCACGGGUGAGUAACACGUAUGCAACCUGCCUGUAAGCGGGGAAUAACCCGUUGAAAGACGGACUAAUACCGCAUAAUACUAAAUUACUGCAUGGUAAUUUAUUUAAACAUUUAUGGCUUACAGAUGGGCAUGCGCAUGAUUAGCUAGUUGGAGAGGUAACGGCUCCCCAAGGCAACGAUCAUUAGGGGUUCUGAGAGGAAGGUCCCCACACUGGUACUGAGACACGGACCAGACUCCUACGGGAGGCAGCAGUGAGGAAUAUUGGUCAAUGGACGAGAGUCUGAACCAGCCAAGUCGCGUGCAGGAAGAAUGUCCUAUUGGAUUGUAAACUGCUUUUGCAGGGGAAUAAAGUGCAUCACGUGUGAUGUUUUGUAUGUACUCUGCGAAUAAGGAUCGGCUAACUCCGUGCCAGCAGCUGC